CUACGGGCCGCUGCAGUGGGGAAUAUUGGACAAUGGGGGAAACCCUGAUCCAGCAAUGCCGCGUGUGUGAAGAAGGCCUGCGGGUUGUAAAGCACUUUCAGCUGGGAAGAUGAUGACGGUACCAGCAGAAGAAGCACCGGCUAACUCCGUGCCAGCAGCCGCGGUAAUACGGAGGGUGCAAGCGUUAAUCGGAAUUACUGGGCGUAAAGCGCGCGUAGGCGGCUUGGUAAGUCGGAUGUGAAAGCCCCGGGCUUAACCUGGGAACUGCAUUCGAUACUGCUAGGCUAGAGUAUGGUAGAGGGAAGUGGAAUUCCGGGUGUAGCGGUGAAAUGCGUAGAUAUCCGGAGGAACAUCAGUGGCGAAGGCGGCUUCCUGGACCAAUACUGACGCUGAGGUGCGAAGGCGUGGGGAGCAAACAGGAUUAGAUACCCCAGUAGUC
rnacentral:rRNA from 1 species